AGACCCGAAACCCGGUGAUCUAGCCAUGGGCAGGUUGAAGGUUGGGUAACACUAACUGGAGGACCGAACCGACUAAUGUUGAAAAAUUAGCGGAUGACCUGUGGCUGGGGGUGAAAGGCCAAUCAAACCGGGAGAUAGCUGGUUCUCCCCGAAAGCUAUUUAGGUAGCGCCUCGUGAAUUCAUCUCCGGGGGUAGAGCACUGUUUCGGCUAGGGGGCCAUCCCGGCUUACCAACCCGAUGCAAACUGCGAAUACCGGAGAAUGUUAUCACGGGAGACACACGGCGGGUGCUAACGUCCGUCGUGAAGAGGGAAACAACCCAGACCGCCAGCUAAGGUCCCAAAGUCAUGGUUAAGUGGGAAACGAUGUGGGAAGGCCCAGACAGCCAGGAUGUUGGCUUAGAAGCAGCCAUCAUUUAAAGAAAGCGUAAUAGCUCACUGGUCGAGUCGGCCUGCGCGGAAGAUGUAACGGGGCUAAACCAUGCACCGAAGCUGCGGCAGCGACGCUGAUGCGUUGUUGGGUAGGGGAGCGUUCUGUAAGCCUGCGAAGGUGGCCUGUGAGGGUUGCUGGAGGUAUCAGAAGUGCGAAUGCUGACAUAAGUAACGAUAAAGCGGGUGAAAAGCCCGCUCGCCGGAAGACCAAGGGUUCCUGUCCAACGUUAAUCGGGGCAGGGUGAGUCGACCCCUAAGGCGAGGCCGAAAGGCGUAGUCGAUGGGAAACGGGUUAAUAUUCCCGUACUUGGUGUUACUGCGAAGGGGGGACGGAGAAGGCUAUGUUGGCCGGGCGACGGUUGUCCCGGUUUAAGCGUGUAGGUGUGUGUUCCAGGUAAAUCCGGUUCACUUUAACACUGAGGCGUGAUGACGAGGCACUACGGUGCUGAAGCAACAAAUGCCCUGCUUCCAGGAAAAGCCUCUAAGCAUCAGGUAACAUCAAAUCGUACCCCAAACCGACACAGGUGGUCAGGUAGAGAAUACCAAGGCGCUUGAGAGAACUCGGGUGAAGGAACUAGGCAAAAUGGUGCCGUAACUUCGGGAGAAGGCACGCUGACACGUAGGUGAAGUGAUUUACUCAUGGAGCUGAAGUCAGUCGAAGAUACCAGCUGGCUGCAACUGUUUAUUAAAAACACAGCACUGUGCAAACACGAAAGUGGACGUAUACGGUGUGACGCCUGCCCGGUGCCGGAAGGUUAAUUGAUGGGGUCAGCGCAAGCGAAGCUCCUGAUCGAAGCCCCGGUAAACGGCGGCCGUAACUAUAACGGUCCUAAGGUAGCGAAAUUCCUUGUCGGGUAAGUUCCGACCUGCACGAAUGGCGUAAUGAUGGCCAGGCUGUCUCCACCCGAGACUCAGUGAAAUUGAACUCGCUGUGAAGAUGCAGUGUACCCGCGGCAAGACGGAAAGACCCCGUGAACCUUUACUAUAGCUUGACACUGAACAUUGAGCCUUGAUGUGUAGGAUAGGUGGGAGGCUUUGAAGUGUGGACGCCAGUCUGCAUGGAGCCGACCUUGAAAUACCACCCUUUAAUGUUUGAUGUUCUAACGU
rnacentral:rRNA from 1 species